CCAGUAACGGCGAGUGAAGCGGCAACAGCUCAAAUUUGAAAUCUGGCCCCCAGGGCCCGAGUUGUAAUUUGCAGAGGAUGCUUUUGGCGCGGUGCCUUCCGAGUUCCCUGGAACGGGACGCCAUAGAGGGUGAGAGCCCCGUCUGGUCGGACACCAAGCCAGUGUAAAGCUCCUUCGACGAGUCGAGUAGUUUGGGAAUGCUGCUCUAAAUGGGAGGUAUAUGUCUUCUAAAGCUAAAUACCGGCCAGAGACCGAUAGCGCACAAGUAGAGUGAUCGAAAGAUGAAAAGCACUUUGAAAAGAGGGUUAAACAGUACGUGAAAUUGUUGAAAGGGAAGCGUUUAUGACCAGACUUGGGCCCGGUGAAUCAUCCAGCGUUCUCGCUGGUGCACUUCGCCGGGCCCAGGCCAGCAUCAGUUCGCCGCGGGGGACAAAAGCUUCGGGAACGUGGCUCCCUCGGGAGUGUUAUAGCCCGUUGCAUAAUACCCUGUGGCGGACUGAGGUUCGCGCUCCGCAAGGAUGCUGGCGUAAUGGUCAUCAGCGACCCGUCUUGAAACACGGACCAAGGAGUCGUCUUCGUAUGCGAGUGUUCGGGUGUCAAACCCCUACGCGUAAUGAAAGUGAACGCAGGUGAGAGCUUCGGCGCAUCAUCGACCGAUCCUGAUGUUCUCGGAUGGAUUUGAGUAAGAGCAUACGGGGCCGGACCCGAAAGAAGGUGAACUAUGCCUGUAUAGGGUGAAGCCAGAGGAAACUCUGGUGGAGGCUCGCAGCGGUUCUGACGUGCAAAUCGAUCGUCAAAUAUGGGCAUGGGGGCGAAAGACUAAUCGAACCUUCUAGUAGCUGGUUUCCGCCGAAGUUUCCCUCAGGAUAGCAGUGUUGAACUCAGUUUUAUGAGGUAAAGCGAAUGAUUAGGGACCCGGGGGCGCUCUUUAGCCUUCAUCCAUUCUCAAACUUUAAAUAUGUAAGAAGCCCUUGUUGCUUAAUUGAACGUGGGCAUUCGAAUGUAUCAACACUAGUGGGCCAUUUUUGGU
rnacentral:rRNA from 1 species